GUUCCCGUUCGCAGCCCUUCACCCUCGUGGGUGUUCCGUUCAGCCCAUUCACCCCUCUCGGGUGUUCCGUUCAGCCCUUCACCCCUCAGGGUGUUCCGUUCAGCAGCCCUUCACCCCAGGGUGUUCCGUUCAGCCCUCACCCCUCAGGGUGUUCCGUUCAGCCCUUCACCCCUCAGGGGUGUUUUCCGUUCAGCCCUUCACCCUCAGGGUGUUCCUUCAGCCCUCACCCUCAGGGUGUUCCGUUCAGCCCUUCACCCCCAGGGUGUUCCGUUCAGCCCUUCCACCCCUCAGGGUGGUUCCGUUUCAGCCCUUCUUCACCCCUCAGGGUUUUCGUUCAGCCCUUCACCCCUCAGGGUGUUUGUUCACCCCUCAGGGGUGUUCUGUUAACCCCUCAGGGUGUUCUGUUCACCCUCAGGUGUUUCUGUUCAGCCCUUCACCCCUCAGGGUGUUUCGUUCACCCCUCAGGGUGUUCUGUUCAGCCAUUCACCCCUCAGGUGUUCUGUUUCACCCCUCAGGGUGUUCUGUUCAGCAGCCCUUCACCCCUCAGUGUGUUCUGUCACCCCUCAGGGUGUUCUGUUCAGCCAGCCAUCACCCCUCAGGGUGUUCUGUUCACCCCUCAGGGUGUUCUGUUCAC
rnacentral:lncRNA from 1 species